rnacentral:rRNA from 1 species
UACGUAGGGUGCAAGCGUUGCCCGGAUUUAUUGGGCGUAAAGGGCGCGUAGGCGGCCCGGCGCGUCCGCGGUGAAAGCUCCCGGCUCAACUGGGAGAGGUCCGCGGAAACGGUCGGGCUGGAGCAAGGUAGGGGGUCGUGGAAUUCCCGGUGUAGUGGUGGAAUGCGUAGAGGAUCGGGAGGAACACCAGUGGCGAAGGCGGCGACCUGGACCUGUGCUGACGCUGAUGCGCGAAAGCGUGGGAGCGAGUCCGG